rnacentral:rRNA from 1 species
UCUUCCCUCUUCCCCCGUGCCUAAUACAUGCAAGUCGAGCGAACGGACGAGAAGCUUGCUUCUCUGAUGUUAGCGGCGGACGGGUGAGUAACACGUGGAUAACCUACCUAUAAGACUGGGAUAACUUCGGGAAACCGGAGCUAAUACCGGAUAAUAUUUUGAACCGCAUGGUUCAAAAGUGAAAGACGGUCUUGCUGUCACUUAUAGAUGGAUCCGCGCUGCAUUAGCUAGUUGGUAAGGUAACGGCUUACCAAGGCAACGAUGCAUAGCCGACCUGAGAGGGUGAUCGGCCACACUGGAACUGAGACACGGUCCAGACUCCUACGGGAGGCAGCAGUAGGGAAUCUUCCGCAAUGGGCGAAAGCCUGACGGAGCAACGCCGCGUGAGUGAUGAAGGUCUUCGGAUCGUAAAACUCUGUUAUUAGGGAAGAACAUAUGUGUAAGUAACUGUGCACAUCUUGACGGUACCUAAUCAGAAAGGCACGGCUAACUACGUG